GAAGUAUAAAGACGGAGAGGGGAGGUGUUUAUGUGCAUGCAGAGAAGGGAAAGUAAAGCCGGGCCUGGUGGCACGCGCCUUUCAUCUCGGGAGGCUGAGCUAGGGUCACGUGGAAGAAGAGCGCUGAGCUUCUGCGGUGCAGCCGGGAUUUCGGGCAACAGGGACUGAUUUGUGCGCACCUACGUAGCACGGAGACCAGAGCUGUUUGUGUGCAGCUGCCUGGAUGUCUGGAACGGGCCUGUAACGGAGGGAGCCCACGGUGGUCCCGACUGCCUGACGGUGUGCCUGCGUCUGUGCUCGCGUUAUGUCCAAGCUAGUGCCGUUGGCGCCUGCCACGUUGAGCCCGCCUCCCACGCCGUGAUCUUGGGCUUGUCUUGACCCCCGAACUCUCCACCAGCCCCCACAGCCUGGUCCUUGGAGCCCGAGGGUGGCAGCGGAGCGCCGCCGCGCUGGUAAUGGAUGUCUCCCUCGACGGGCGGCUCGGAGCCCUCCUCUCCGCCGGGCUCGCCCUCGGCUUUCAGGAUGUCCAUCUGCAGGCCCUGGCGGUGCUCAAAGUCGAGAUCGUCGCAGUGCGCGAAGCCCACCGCCUCCUCGUCCGUGGCCGCCUGGAAACCCAUCCUGGCGAACAUGCCGCUCACCUUGGCCUGGGACUUGUUGGACACGGACGUGGCCACAUUGGUCAGCUUGCUGCGGAGUAGGGUGGCCAUGGCGGCGACG